rnacentral:rRNA from 1 species
CCUACGGGCGGCAGCAGUGGGGAAUAUUGCACAAUGGGGGAAACCCUGAUGCAGCGACGCCGCGUGAGUGAGGAAGUAUUUCGGUAUGUAAAGCUCUAUCAGCAGGGGAGAAAAUGACGGUACCUGACUAAGAAGCCCCGGCUAACUACGUGCCAGCAGCCGCGGUAAUACGUAGGGGGCAGGCGUUAUCCGGAUUUACUGGGUGUAAAGGGAGCGUAGACGGGUAAUCAAGUCAGAAGUGAAAACCCAGGGCUCAACCUUGGUACUGGUUUUGAAACUGAGUAGCUAGAGUGCAGGAGAGGUAAGCGGAAUUCCUGGUGUAGCGGUGAAAUGCGUAGAUAUUAGGAGGAACACCAGUGGCGAAGGCGGCUUACUGG